rnacentral:rRNA from 1 species
AUUGAACGCUGGCGGCAUGCUUUACACAUGCGAGUCGAACGGUAACAGGUCUUCGGAUGCUGACGAGUGGCGAACGGGUGAGUAAUACAUCGGAACGUGCCUAGUAGUGGGGGAUAACUACUCGAAAGAGUAGCUAAUACCGCAUGAGAUCUACGGAUGAAAGCAGGGGACCUUCGGGCCUUGUGCUACUAGAGCGGCUGAUGGCAGAUUAGGUAGUUGGUGGGGUAAAGGCUUACCAAGCCUGCGAUCUGUAGCUGGUCUGAGAGGACGACCAGCCACACUGGGACUGAGACACGGCCCAGACUCCUACGGGAGGCAGCAGUGGGGAAUUUUGGACAAUGGGCGAAAGCCUGAUCCAGCAAUGCCGCGUGCAGGAUGAAGGCCCUCGGGUUGUAAACUGCUUUUGUACGGAACGAAAAGCCUGGGGCUAAUAUCCCCGGGUCAUGACGGUACCGUAAGAAUAGGCACCGGCUAACUACGUG